rnacentral:rRNA from 1 species
AGAGUUUGAUCCCUGGCUCAGAUUGAACGCUGGCGGCAUGCCUUACACAUGCAAGUCGAACGGCAGCACGGGAGCAAUCCUGGUGGCGAGUGGCGAACGGGUGAGUAAUAUAUCGGAACGUGCCCAGUCGUGGGGGAUAACGCAGCGAAAGCUGUGCUAAUACCGCAUACGAUCUCUGGAUGAAAGCGGGGGACUCGCAAGAACCUCGCGCGAUUGGAGCGGCCGAUAUCAGAUUAGCUAGUUGGUGGGGUAAAGGCCCACCAAGGCGACGAUCUGUAGCUGGUCUGAGAGGACGACCAGCCACACUGGAACUGAGACACGGUCCAGACUCCUACGGGAGGCAGCAGUGGGGAAUUUUGGACAAUGGGCGCAAGCCUGAUCCAGCAAUGCCGCGUGCAGGAUGAAGGCCUUCGGGUUGUAAACUGCUUUUGUACGGAACGAAACGGCUCUUUCUAAUAAAGAGGGCUAAUGACGGUNCCG